CGUUGACCUCGGAUCAGGUAGGAAUACCCGCUGAACUUAAGCAUAUCUAAAGGCGGGAAAGAAACC
rnacentral:rRNA from 1 species